CUACGGGAGGCAGCAGUGGGGAAUAUUGGACAAUGGGCGCAAGCCUGAUCCAGCCAUACCGCGUGGGUGAAGUAGGCCUUCGGGUUGUAAAGCCCUUUUGUUGGGAAAGAAAUCCAGCCGGCUAAUACCUGGUUGGGAUGACGGUACCCAAAGAAUAAGCACCGGCUAACUUCGUGCCAGCAGCCGCGGUAAUACGAAGGGUGCAAGCGUUACUCGGAAUUACUGGGCGUAAAGCGUGCGUAGGUGGUUAUUUAAGUCCGUUGUGAAAGCCCUGGGCUCAACCUGGGAACUGCAGUGGAUACUGGAUGACUAGAAUGUGGUAGAGGGUAGCGGAAUUCCUGGUCUAGCAGUGAAAAGCGUAGAGAUCAGGAGGAACAUCCAUGGCGAAGGCAGCUACCUGGACCAACAUUGACACUGAGGCACGAAAGCGUGGGGAGCAAACAGGAUUAGAUACCCUGGUAGUCCACGCCCUAAACGAUGCGAACUGGAUGUUGGGUGCAAUUUGGCACGCAGUAUCGAAGCUAACGCGUUAAGUUCGCCGCCUGGGGAGUACGGUCGCAAGACUGAAACUCAAAGGAAUUGACGGA
rnacentral:rRNA from 1 species